GGAAUUGUGGCCGAGUGGUUUAAGGUGCUGAUCUUGAAAUCUGGAGAUCCAGAGUUCCCGGGUUCAAACCCUCAAUUGCCA